rnacentral:rRNA from 1 species
GAUGAACGCCGGCGGCGUGCUUAACACAUGCAAGUCGAACGGAAAGGCCCAAGCUUGCUUGGGUACUCGAGUGGCGAACGGGUGAGUAACACGUGGGUGAUCUGCCCUGCACUUCGGGAUAAGCCUGGGAAACUGGGUCUAAUACCGGAUAGGACCACUUCUUGGAUGUUGUGGUGGAAAGUUUUUUCGGUGUGGGAUGAGCUCGCGGCCUAUCAGCUUGUUGGUGGGGUAAUGGCCUACCAAGGCGUCGACGGGUAGCCGGCCUGAGAGGGUGUACGGCCACAUUGGGACUGAGAUACGGCCCAGACUCCUACGGGAGGCAGCAGUGGGGAAUAUUGCACAAUGGGCGCAAGCCUGAUGCAGCGACGCCGCGUGGGGGAUGACGGCCUUCGGGUUGUAAACUCCUUUCGCUAGGGACGAAGCGUUUUGUGACGGUACCUGGAGAAGAAGCACCGGCUAACUACGUG